CGCGAAUUCGCCCUUCGGGGUGCACCAGGCGCGAAAACUUUACAAUGCCGGCAACGGCGAUAAGGGAACCUCGAGUGCCAGGUUACAAAUCUGGCUGUCGUGAUGCCUAAAAAGCAUUGCAUAGCAAGGGCCGGGCAAGACCGGUGCCAGCCGCCGCGGUAACACCGGCGGCUCGAGUGGUAACCGUUAUUAUUGGGUCUAAAGGGUCUGUAGCCGGCCGGGUAAGUCUCUUGGAAAAUCUGGCAGCUUAACUGUCAGGCUUUCAGGAGAUACUGCCUGGCUCGAGGCCGGGAGAGGUGAGAGGUACUUCAGGGGUAGGGGUGAAAUCUUGUAAUCCUUGAAGGACCACCAGUGGCGAAGGCGUCUCACCAGAACGGACCUGACGGCAAGGGACGAAAGCUAGGGGCACGAACCGGAUUAGAUACCCGGGCAGUCCUAGCCGUAAACGAUACUCGCUAGGUGUCGGCCACGGUGCGACCGUGGUCGGUGCCGUAGGGAAGCCGUGAAGCGAGCCACCUGGGAAGUACGGCCGCAAGGCUGAAACUUAAAGGAAUUGGCGGGGGAGCAC
rnacentral:rRNA from 1 species